CGCUAAGAAGCUAAAUAGUACAAGCGCCAGCCUUUUAAUCUGGAGAUUGGUGGUUAACACCCACCCUUUGCGA
rnacentral:tRNA from 1 species